rnacentral:rRNA from 1 species
GAAUUCGCCCUUAGAGUUUGAUCCUGGCUCAGGACGAACGCUGGCGGCGCGCCUAACACAUGCAAGUCGAACGAGCGAGAGAGAGCUUACUUUCUCGAGCGAGUGGCGAACGGGUGAGUAACGCGUGAGGAACCUGCCUCAAAGAGGGGGGACAACAGUUGGAAACGACUGCUAAUACCGCAUAAGCCCACGACCCGGCAUCGGGUAGAGGGAAAAGGAGCAAUCCGCUUUGAGAUGGCCUCGCGUCCGAUUAGCUAGUUGGUGAGGUAAUGGCCCACCAAGGCGACGAUCGGUAGCCGGACUGAGAGGUUGAACGGCCACAUUGGGACUGAGACACGGCCCAGACUCCUACGGGAGGCAGCAGUGGGGAAUAUUGCACAAUGGGGGAAACCCUGAUGCAGCGACGCCGCGUGGAGGAAGAAGGUCUUCGGAUUGUAAACUCCUGUUGUUGAGGAAGAUAAUGACGGUACUCAACAAGGAAGUGACGGCUAACUACGUGCCAGCAGCCGCGGUAAAACGUAGGUCACAAGCGUUGUCCGGAAUUACUGGGUGUAAAGGGAGCGCAGGCGGGAAGACAAGUUGGAAGUGAAAUCCAUGGGCUCAACCCAUGAACUGCUUUCAAAACUGUUUUUCUUGAGUAGUGCAGAGGUAGGCGGAAUUCCCGGUGUAGCGGUGGAAUGCGUAGAUAUCGGGAGGAACACCAGUGGCGAAGGCGGCCUACUGGGCACCAACUGACGCUGAGGCUCGAAAGUGUGGGUAGCAAACAGGAUUAGAUACCCUGGUAGUCCACACUGUAAACGAUGAUUACUAGGGGUUGGAGGAUUGACCCCUUCAGUGCCGCAGUUAACACAAUAAGUAA